rnacentral:rRNA from 1 species
GACAGAGGGUGCAAACGUUGCUCGGAAUCACUGGGCGUAAAGGGCGUGUAGGCGGGUAGAUAAGUCGGGCGUGAAAUCCCUAGGCUCAACCUAGGAACUGCACUCGAAACUGUUUAUCUUGAGUGCCGGAGAGGAAAGCGGAAUUCCUGGUGUAGAGGUGAAAUUCGUAGAUAUCAGGAGGAACACCAGUGGCGAAGGCGGACUUU